UGGGGAAUAUUGGACAAUGGGCGCAAGCCUGAUCCAGCCAUGCCGCGUGAGUGAUGAAGGCCCUAGGGUUGUAAAGCUCUUUUACUCGGGAAGAUAAUGACGGUACCGAGAGAAUAAGCCCCGGCUAACUUCGUGCCAGCAGCCGCGGUAAUACGAAGGGGGCUAGCGUUGUUCGGAAUCACUGGGCGUAAAGCGCACGUAGGCGGAUUGUUAAGUCAGAGGUGAAAUGCCGGAGCUCAACUUCGGAACUGCCUUUGAUACUGGCGAUCUCGAGUCCGGGAGAGGUGAGUGGAACUGCGAGUGUAGAGGUGAAAUUCGUAGAUAUUCGCAAGAACACCAGUGGCGAAGGCGGCUCACUGGCCCGGUACUGACGCUGAGGUGCGAAAGCGUGGGGAGCAAACAGG
rnacentral:rRNA from 1 species